UACGGAGGGUGCGAGCGUUGUCCGGAAUCACUGGGCGUAAAGGGCGCGUAGGUGGCGCGGGCAGUCAACGGUGAAAGUUCGGGGCUCAACCCUGAAUCGGCCGUCGAUACUCCCGGGCUUGAGCACUGUAGAGGCAGAUGGAAUUCCGGGUGUAGCGGUGGAAUGCGUAGAGAUCCGGAAGAACACCGGUGGCGAAGGCGGUCUGCUGGGCAACAACUGACGCUGAGGAGCGAAAGCGUGGGGAGCGAACAGG
rnacentral:rRNA from 1 species